CCUACGGGAGGCAGCAGUGAGGAAUAUUGGUCAAUGGACGAGAGCCUGAACCAGCCAAGCAGCGUGAAGGAUGACUGCUCUAUGGGUUGUAAACUUUUUUUAUAUGGGAAUAAAACAGGGUAUGCAUACACUCAUGUAUGUACAAUAUGAAUAAGGAUCGGCUAACUCCGUGCCAGAAGCCGCGGUAAUACGGAGGUUCCGAGCGUUAUCCGGAUUUAUUGGGUUGAAAGGGAGCAUAGGUGGAUUGUUAAGUCAGUUGUGAAAGUCUGCGGCUCAACCGUAAAAUUGCAGUUGAAACUGGCAGUCUUGAGUGCAGGAGAGGUAGGCGGAAUUCGUGGUGUAGCGGUGAAAUGCUUAGAUAUCACGAAGAACACCGGUUGCGAAGGCAGCUCACUGGACUGCAACUGACACUGAUGCUCGAAAGUGUGGGUAUCAAACAGGAUUAGAUACCCGAGUAGUC
rnacentral:rRNA from 1 species